GGAAAUUGAAGGUUGCUGGCAUCACUUGUCUGCUCCUUUGAAAUGCAUUAGCAAGAAACUAUGCAAAUCAGUUUUAGUUUGAUAAUAUUUUAUCUGUGCUGCUGCUGUGUGUAAAGUCUUGCUGCUAAUUGUGACUGUCUCUUUGAGGGACACAUUUGACUCUUGACCUCAAAUCAGGUAGGAUUACCCGCUGAACUUAA
rnacentral:misc_RNA from 1 species